AGCGAACGCUGGCGGCAGGCUUAACACAUGCAAGUCGAGCGGGCACUUUCGGGUGUCAGCGGCGGACGGGUGAGUAACGCGUGGGAACGUGCCCUCUGGUUCGGAAUAACUCAGGGAAACUUGAGCUAAUACCGGAUACGCCCUUUUGGGGAAAGGCUUGCUGCCGGAGGAUCGGCCCGCGUCUGAUUAGCUAGUUGGAGAGGUAACGGCGCACCAAGGCGACGAUCAGUAGCUGGUCUGGGCGGAUGAUCAGCCACACUUGGACUGAGACACGGCCCAGAAUCCUACGGGAGGCAGCAGUGGGGAAUAUUGGACAAUGGGCGCAAGCCUGAUCCAGCCAUGCCGCGGAAGUGAUGAAGGCCUUAGUGUUGUAAAGCUCUUUUAUCCGGGACGAUAAUGACGGUACCGGAGGAAUAAGCCCCGGCUAACUUCGUG
rnacentral:rRNA from 1 species